CAAAGGUAGAGGAAUAUGUACCCCUGCCAAGCACAGAACAGUUCCAAGAGUUGAAGCUAUCAACACAUCCAAAGGACAGCAUCAUUCCUCUGACUGUCUCUUCAACUAGAAGAAAGCAUACUGAGUCGUGUCUGAUCGUAUUCUUCUCUGAUGGAGGUCAGACAGAAAGAGCACGAAAUUUUCUUAAUGACAUGCGUGAGAACCAUGUAAAUGGCACCGUAGAACA